rnacentral:rRNA from 1 species
CAAUAGCGUAUAUUAAAGUUGUUGCAGUUAAAAAGCUCGUAGUUGGAUUUGUGGUGUGUCCAGUUGGCCUUUGCUCUUUGAGUGAUAGUGCUUUACUGGUCUGCCAUGUUUGGGUGGAAUCUGUGUGGCAUUAAGUUGUCGUGCAGGGGAUGCCCAAUCGUUUACUGUGAAAAAUUAGAGUGUUCAAAGCAGGCCUACGCUUGAAUACAUUAGCAUGGAAUAAUGGAAUAGGACUUUGGUGCUAUUUUGUUGGUUUAUGGGACCGAAGGUAAUGAUUAACAGGGACAGUUGGGGCCGUUUAUAUUUCGUUGUCAGAGGUGAAAUUCUUGGAUUUACGAAAGAUAAACUUCUGCGAAAGCAUUCGGCAAGGAUGUUUUCAUUGAUCAAGAACGAAAGUUAGGGGAUCGAAGACGAUCAGAUACCAU